rnacentral:rRNA from 1 species
UACGGAGGGUGCAAGCGUUCUCCGGAAUCACUGGGCUUAAAGGGUGCGUAGGCGGCUGUAUAAGUCAGAGGUGAAAGCCCGGAGCUUAACUUCGGAACUGCCUUUGAUACUGUAUAGCUUGAAAUAGGUUGAGGUCAGCGGAAUGUGGCAUGUAGCGGUGAAAUGCAUAGAUAUGCCAUAGAACACCAAUUGCGAAGGCAGCUGGCUGGACCUUAUUUGACGCUGAGGCACGAAAGCGUGGGGAGCGAAUAGG